CGGGCCCCAAGCCGUUAAUCCGGCAAUUCUGGGCGUAAAGCGUACGCAGGCGGUUUGUUAAGCGAGAUGUGAAAGCCCCGGGCUCAACCUGGGAACUGCAUUUCGAACUGGCAAACUAGAGUGUGAUAGAGGGUGGUAGAAUUUCAGGUGUAGCGGUGAAAUGCGUAGAGAUCUGAAGGAAUACCGAUGGCGAAGGCAGCCACCUGGGUCAACACUGACGCUCAUGUACGAAAGCGUGGGGAGCAAACAGGAUUAGAUACCCUGGUAGUCCACGCCGUAAACGAUGUCUACUAGAAGCUCGGAACCUCGGUUCUGUUUUUCAAAGCUAACGCAUUAAGUAGACCGCCUGGGGAGUACGGCCGCAAGGUUAAACCUCAAAUGAAUUGACGGGGGCCCGCACAAGCGGUGGCGCAUGUGGUUUAAUUCCAUGCAACGCGAAGAACCUUACCUACACUUGACAUACAGAGAACUUACCAGAAAUAGUUUGGUGCCUUCGGGAACUCUGAUACAGGUGCUGCAUGGCC
rnacentral:rRNA from 1 species